UACAGAGGGUGCAAGCGUUGUCCGGAUUUAUUGGGCGUAAAGAGCGUGUAGGCGGCCUGACAGGUCUGCUGUGAAAACUCGAGGCUCAACCUCGAGAUGUCGGCGGAAACCGUCUGGCUAGAGUCCGGAAGAGGAGAGUGGAAUUCCUGGUGUAGCGGUGAAAUGCGCAGAUAUCAGGAAGAACACCUAUGGCGAAGGCAGCUCUCUGGGACGGUACUGACGCUGAGACGCGAAAGCGUGGGGAGCGAACAGG
rnacentral:rRNA from 1 species